rnacentral:lncRNA from 1 species
CAAAUGUAUGUGUUGAAAAGCUUCAAGUUUGGGGUGUUAUGGGGAAAGUGAAAGGAAAAAAGAAAAAGCAUUGAGUUCAAAAGAUGAAAAAGAAAAAUGCAUGAGAAAGAAAAAGAAAAGAAGAAAAGAGAAAAAGCAUGUAAAGUGAACUCAAUGUAAAAAAGGAAAAUGGGAAGAAGUUGGGAAUGGAUGAGAUUGGUUAAAAAGAGAGUAUGCUUGAACUUUGAAUGAUAAUUUAAACUCUCUUAACUCAACGAUUUUGUAUUCCAAAAAAACCAAUUUUUCUUGUUAGCCCAGCUGUUACCGAUAAGGAGUAUUGAUAAAUCUUGAAGAAAAUUGUUUUGAUGAUGCUGCAAGAAGUGUUGCUUGAAGAGGAUAUUAGAAUUAUUUAAAAGCAAUUUGUAGAAAUUAAAUGUAGUAGGAAAGUCUUAAAAACUUUGUAAAACUUGUAUUUUUACUGAAAUAAUCGAUUAUGGAG